GAUGAACGCUGGCGGCGUGCUUAACACAUGCAAGUCGAACGGAAAGGCCCAAGCUUGCUUGGGUACUCGAGUGGCGAACGGGUGAGUAACACGUGGGUGAUCUGCCCUGCACUUCGGGAUAAGCCUGGGAAACUGGGUCUAAUACCGGAUAGGACCACAUUUUGGAUGGUGUGGUGGAAAGUUUUUCGGUGUGGGAUGAGCUCGCGGCCUAUCAGCUUGUUGGUGGGGUAAUGGCCUACCAAGGCGUCGACGGGUAGCCGGACUGAGAGGGUGUACGGCCACAUUGGGACUGAGAUACGGCCCAGACGCCUACGGGAGGCAGCAGUGGGGAAUAUUGCACAAUGGGCGCAAGCCUGAUGCAGCGACGCCGCGUGGGGGAUGACGGCCUUCGGGUUGUAAACUCCUUUCGCUAGGGACGAAGCGUUAUGUGACGGUACCUGGAGAAGAAGCACCGGCUAACUACGUG
rnacentral:rRNA from 1 species